GGAUGUGAGGGCAAUCUGGUUGUGACAUCUGUCACUCCAUUGAUCGCCAGGGUUGAUUUGGCUGAUCUGGCUGGCUAGGUGGGUGUCUUCUUCCUCCCUCACCACUCCAUGUAUGUCCCUCCCAAAGCUGCGCUUUCAGUCGAAAAGGACAGGGCAUGCCUUCCUGGAAUAGAAAUGGACUGGACUUUGGUUGAGGGUAUACAAGUAGCUGCACUCCCCUGCUAGAACCUUCAGACAGGCUCUCAAGAUUCAUAUUUAGUUGUUUCAAGAACUUUGCAGAAUCUUGUAGAAACAAGAGACUGAAGAUUCCAGAGAACCUAACUCUAGUU
rnacentral:snRNA from 1 species